rnacentral:rRNA from 1 species
GUAACGCGUGGUCAACUACCGUUGAGUGGGGGAUAACUAGCCGAAAGGUUAGCUAAUACCGCAUACGAGUCCGAGGGGCAUCCCUUGGCCUUAAAAGGAGCAGUCCGCUCGAUGACGGGACCGCGUCCCAUUAGCUAGAUGGUGGGGUAACGGCCUACCAUGGCACCGAUGGGUAGCUGGUUUGAGAGAGCGACCAGCCACACUGGGACUGAGAAACGGCCCAGACUCCUACGGGAGGCAGCAGUGAGGAAUUUUCCGCAAUGGGCGAAAGCCUGACGGAGCGACGCCGCGUGUGGGAAGAAGGCCUUCGGGUCGUAAACCACUGUCGAAGGGGACGAUAAUGACGGUACCCUUGGAGGAAGCCCCGGCUAACUACGUGCCAGCAGCCGCGGUAAGACGUAGGGGGCGAGCGUUAUUCGGAAUUAUUGGGCGUAAAGCGCUCGUAGGCGGGAUCGAUAGUCCGUGAAGAAAGACCUGGGCUCAACUCAGGGAACGGCACGGAUACUUCGAUUCUUGAGGCAAUCAGAGG